rnacentral:rRNA from 1 species
UACGUAGGGACCGAGCGUUGUCCGGAAUCAUUGGGCGUAAAGAGCGUGUAGGCGGCCACUUAAGUCCUGCGUGAAAUCUUGCGGCUCAACCGCAAGCGGUCGUGGGAAACUGGGUGGCUAGAGUGCGGGAGAGGAGAGUGGAAUCCCUGGUGUAGCGGUGGAAUGCGCAGAUAUCAGGAAGAACACCCGUGGCGAAGGCGGCUCUCUGGAACGCAACUGACGCUGAGACGCGAAAGCGUGGGGAGCAAACAGG